rnacentral:sRNA from 1 species
GCUUCGUAUUCAAUCCCAUCCAGUCUCCUAUUAUUUAGGUGCUUCCAGUGAGGUGGAGUCCCCCGAGUAUCCAAAACUGCCAAUAAGUACUGAACAAUACGCUCCUCACCCACUACUGAAUCUUUGACUGACACGUGCUACAAAGGAUACAUAUUCAGAAACCCAACCGCUGUAGAUGCACUACCUAGUCCCAUUUUUCUCCAUACUCAAAGUGAACUCGUAAGAAAAUGAGAUAUUCAAUUGACAAAACUGAUCUGGGAAAAUAACUAAAGAAUGUGUAAGAUGUAGGGCAAAAAAAAAGAACUUCUAUCUACAAUGACGGCUUGAAAACAGAGAAAGUUAGCUUAAAAAUGACAAAAAUAUGCCACAUGAAAAGAUACCUAAUUUAGUUAGCCCAUGAACAUUAGUAUGGAAAAGGAAACAAUCACGAAAGUCUUUAAAUUACUCGUAGCGAUUUCAAACUACAUAAUUUUGUUUUUUCUAACAAAGUUUUCCACCCACUGAAAAAUGCCACCUCCACAUUUUCAUUGCCCUUGGGUGCCCCAUAAUGCCUAUUCACAGACUAAAACCAGCCCUUUUGCUUAUGCUAUCACGAUAAAAUUGAUUAGAUCCUCAAAAGUUAUUAGAGUAUGAAAUAAAUGUUCACUAUU